rnacentral:rRNA from 1 species
UACGUAGGGGGCAAGCGUUGUCCGGAAUCAUUGGGCGUAAAGGGCGUGUAGGCGGCCAGAAAAGUCCGCUGUGAAAACUCGAGGCUCAACUUCGAGCUGUCGGUGGAAACUUUCUGGCUAGAGUCCGGAAGAGGAGAAUGGAAUUCCUGGUGUAGCGGUGAAAUGCGCAGAUAUCAGGAAGAACACCCGUGGCGAAGGCGGUUCUCUGGGACGGUACUGACGCUGAGACGCGAAAGCGUGGGGAGCGAACAGG